UAUUACUAAAAACUCACUCAAAACUGCUCUCUUUCCCUUCCUUCUGAUCUUUUUCCAUUUGAAUUAAAAACGCAUCGACGUAAUCGUUACCUUCUCCCUCGAUCACA
rnacentral:snoRNA from 1 species